ensembl:lncRNA
GUAAGCUCUUCCCACUGCUUGUACGAAAAAUCACUGAACAAGUUAUUCAAGAGGGAUACUAAAGCAUGUACUGUAGAAUUAUCCCGAUUGGUCUGAACUGUUUCAUCAUUUGUCAUUGUGUUACAGUUUGAGCUUGCCAUUUCACUUUUUUGUUUUUUAUGCCUAAAAUGUUGUUUUGUGUUAAACUCCGUGUUUGAACGUUUAAAGCGCUGCUGUCCCGCUGUAUGAAUGCGUUUCAACUGAACAGCCAGGUCUAUAUAUAAGGUCGGUUUCUUUGUAACGUCACCAGUCAAAGGACUGGCCCGGCUCGUCAUAACGAAAGGGGGCGGGACAAAUCUGUUGCUUAGCAACUGAAAAAAAGGCACACCGCGCUGAAUGCUACAUCCGUCCUGCGACGGUACACCGCCUCCGCACCACCGUUUAAACAUGAAGUGUGGAUGUUAGAAGAUCCCAAAUAUGAAGACGACCAAUCUGCACAUCGAGAAGCUGUCCUGUCUUCAGCUAGGAGUCCUUCUCCAGCUGCUGCACAUGCUAACAGAUACGACAUCUCAUGAGGAGGUUCGAACCCUGUACCCUGACCUUCCCACUGACGCACAAAGUCUGCACAUCCAGAAGCAGGCCCUUCUACGUGAACAACAGCACAACAGUUUCUAUUUCUUUUAAUAUUAGAAGUCAGUUAUUCAUUAAUGAAUACAAAUGGUGACUGAAGUUAUUUAGACAGGACAUUAAACAAUAAACUUCCA